GCAGAUCGGCGGCCGCGGGGAGGUUCGGGGCGGCGCAGCCCCGCGCGGUUGUGGGAUCGCUCCCGGGGGCCGCUCCUCUCUCGGGCACUGGGGUCGCGGGAGACGUCGUCGGGAGCUCGGUUUCUGGAGGCCCUUCCCCACCCGGCCUCUGCCUCCUCCACUCCCCCGGGCUGGACGGAACGGGGCCCAGCGCGGGAUGCGAGAAUGCCAUCGGGUUUUGUCAUGUUGGGAACAAGUUAACUUAGGCCAGUUGACUAAGAUCAAGAAAUAACCAUGGAUAUGGGUAGAGACAGAGCCAUAUGGAAUGCACACUGCAGUGGUGAACACAUGGCCCAGCUCUGCCAUCAAGGAGAAGCACUCUUUAUAAUAACAAAGACAUGGAAUCAACCUAAAUGCUCAUCAACAGUAGACUGGAUAAAGAAAAUGUGGUUCAUAUACACCAUGGAAUACUAUGCAGCCAUAAAAAAGAAUGAGAUUAUUUCCUUUGCAGGAACAUGAAUGGAGCUGGAGGCCAUCAUCCUUAGUGAACUAACACAGGAGCAGAAAACCAAAUACCACAUGUUCUCAUGUGUAAGUGGGAGCUAAAUGAUGAGAACACAUGGACACAAAGAGGGGAACAACAGACACUGAAGCCUCCUUGAGGGAGGAGGGUAAGAGGAAGGAGAAGAUCAGAAAAGAUAACUACCAGGUACUAUGGUAGCUUAGUACCUGGGUGAUGAAAUAAUCUGUACACCCAACCCUCAUGACAGAAGUUUACCUGUGUAACAAACCUGCACAUGUAUCCCUGAAACUAAAAGUUUUUUAAAAAGUUAUUUAAUAUAUAUAUAUUUUUUUGAGACGGAGUUUUGCUCUUGUUGCCCAGGCUGGAGUGCGGUGGCGCAAUUUCGGCUCACCACAACCUCCGCCUCCCAGGUUCAAGCUAUUCCCCUGCCUCAGCCUCCCUAGUAGCUGGGAUUACAGGCUUGUGCCACCACGCCGGCUAAUUUUGUAUUUUUUGUAGAGACGGGGUUUCUCCAUGUUGGUCAGGCUGGUCUCGAACUCCCGACCUCAGGUGAUCCACCCCCCUCGGCCUCCCAAAGUGCUAGGAUUACAGGCAUGAGCCACUGCGCCCGGCAAAAAGUUAUUUAAUAUUAAUGGGACAAUACUCAUUGCAAGAAUCAGACUUCAAUUGCUAGCAUAAGUAAAUGACAGGCAGGAGAUAUUGAAAAUGCAAUCUUAUAGACAUUCAAGGAGAGGACGCAGGACAUUUCUGUGUCAUAAAUGUACUAUGGAAAAUAAAAAUGAGAAAAAUGGAAAUAAAAUACAAGAAAAGGUUAUGAUAAAUUUCAUAUUAUUUUACCACAAUAAAAAAAUUUUAAUAAAUUAUAAAUGGUGUGAUAUGUUUUGCCUGUGUUCCACCCAAAUCUCAUCUUGAAUUAGAGCUCCCACAAUUCCCACGUGUUGUGGCUGGGACCCUGUGGGAGAUAAUUGAAUCAUGGGGGCAGUUUACCCCAUACUGUUCUCUUGGUGGUGAAUAAGUCUCAUGAGAGUUGAUGGUUUGAUAAGGGGUUUCCCCUUUUGCUUGGCUCUCAUUCUCUCUUGACUGCCACCAUGUAAGAUGUGCCUUUUGCCUUCCACCAUGAUUGUGAAGCCUCCCAGCCACAUGGAACUGUGAGUC
rnacentral:lncRNA from 1 species